rnacentral:rRNA from 1 species
UGCGUAGGGUCCGAGCGUUGUCCGGAAUUACUGGGCGUAAAGAGCUCGUAGGUGGUUUGUCGCGUUGUUCGUGAAAACUCACAGCUCAACUGUGGGCGUGCGGGCGAUACGGGCAGACUAGAGUACUGCAGGGGAGACUGGAAUUCCUGGUGUAGCGGUGGAAUGCGCAGAUAUCAGGAGGAACACCGGUGGCGAAGGCGGGUCUCUGGGCAGUAACUGACGCUGAGGAGCGAAAGCGUGGGAGCGAGCAGG